rnacentral:rRNA from 2 species
GACUCUCAACAACAAAAAUCUCAACUCUUGAAUCGAUGAAGAACGUAGCGAAAUGCGAACCUUGUGUGAAUUGCAGAAUCUCGUGAACUAUCGAGUCUUUGAUUGCAAGUUGUGCUUAGAGCCAUUAGGCCGAGGGCACGUUUGUCUAGGUUUCA